GGUGAACGCUAGCGGCAGGCUUAACACAUGCAAGUCGAGGGGUAUAGGUUUUCGGACCUAGAGACCGGCGCACGGGUGCGUAACGCGUAUGCAAUCUACCUUUCACAGAGGGAUAGCCCAGAGAAAUUUGGAUUAAUACCUCAUAGUAUAGCAGUUUCGCAUGAAACCACUAUUAAAGUAUCAACGGUGAAAGAUGAGCAUGCGUCCCAUUAGCUAGAUGGUAAGGUAACGGCUUACCAUGGCUACGAUGGGUAGGGGUCCUGAGAGGGAGAACCCCCACACUGGUACUGAGACACGGACCAGACUCCUACGGGAGGCAGCAGUGAGGAAUAUUGGUCAAUGGGCGCAAGUCUGAACCAGCCAUGCCGCGUGCAGGAUGACGGUCCUAUGGAUUGUAAACUGCUUUUGUACGAGAAGAAACAACAUUACGUGUAAUGUCUUGACGGUAUCGUAAGAAUAAGGAUCGGCUAACUCCGUGCCAGCCGCCGCCGUAACAC
rnacentral:rRNA from 1 species